GGGGUUUAGGCGUUAAAAUUCCCAACAGCUUUUAGCUUUCUUCUGAUGUUUCGUUAAAUUCUUAUUAAUGAAACAACAAGGGUUUGUCAAAAAUCACUAGCGGUAUGUGCUUAUUCACAAGUACACAUAUGACAUGGUUUAGUUUUUAUUUUAUUUUAUGACAUGGUUUAGUUUUUUUUAAUUGCCUAUUCAAAUUUCUAGUGAACUUUUGUGUGUGCGUGUGUAGGCUGGCAAUGGAUGUUCUCUCAAGUGCCGAUGUGCAGGCUGUCAGAAUUCAUAUGGCAAAAGACAAGGAACCGAGCUGGUUAUCCAAUCGGUAAGUAGGAGGGGCAGGAAGCCUAAGAAUUCAAUUGAUGGGAGGAUAUUGAUUGGGAAUUCAAAAACAAUCGACCAUCAACCUAUUCAAAGCUCAAUGGAAAAUGGUCAGAUUGUUUUAAAUCAUGAUAAUCAAUUACCAAGCAUAGUACCAGAAACCAGAGAACGUCAAACUUCAUAGGAAACUUUGAUUCUUAGUAGAGUUAUGCCUGAAGCUAAUGAGAAUGUGAGUUUAUCGGAGGCUCAAAAUGCUGCUGACGCUAGUUCUGCACAAUCGGAGUUAAUCCAAGGAUCAUCAGAUCGCAGUGAUGAGUAUAUGCAGCAUCGAAGCCCAAUACACCUAACUAGAGGCUCUCUUGUUCUCUGACAAUCUGAUCUCCUAAGUAUAGAGAUAGGCAUAUAAUUUAGAAUUCUAGCAGACUUUUAUUACUGUCAACAACAAUUUUGACAGGGUCUCUUUUGGUAUUGAAGGUAUUAGGAUGGUGGUGUUGCUUUGCUGAUGUUCUCUUCUACGACAUUGUUAUCUGCUGCAAUAUAAUAUGGAGGUGGCUGAGGGGUGAGCAGUCGAGCUGUAGAGUCAUCCUUCUCCUUCCAGAUGUCGGCUGACGAUUGGAAGGGAGGUCACUCAAGUACCAAAGAGAAAUGGCUUCUUAGUAUCCUGGAUUUGAUAGAAGAGGUAAGGUGUAGGAUAGGUCGGCUGCUUGGCCGUCCUUCUCUCUCCAGGUGACGGCUGGCGAUUGGAGGAGAAGUCAUUCGUGCACAGAAAAGCAUCAUGGCAAUCUUCUGGGAAAUGACUAGUAAGAAAAAUAAGCGGCUUGCGCACGAGGUUUGUCAGAAUGGAGAUCUUGAUGGGACUAAUCAAUACUGUUGUAUCGAUUGAUAUCUGAAGUGAACUUGGUCGGCUAUGAUCCCUUUAGUCGAGGCGGGUUAAUCUGCGAGCCAUCAUUAUGAUUUGGCGACCCGAUAGUUGAGUGAGCUUUGGGUCGGGCGUAUGGUCGAGUCAUCUGCUCGAGGAGUCGUCUUAAUUGCGAGGGGGAGAUUGAUCCCGCACUUCGAGUUGGUCAUGAUGACCCUUGAUCGAAAUAUGGCUUGUCUGCUCGUCUGGUCGAGAGACUUGACCUUGGCUGGGCUUUUGAGCCUCUAAGUUGGUUUGGACCAUAGCUCUCUU